UCUGCUCCAACUAUGGCUCAGUGUUGCUCGGGCUCUCCACGGGAGCGCGUCGUGCCAUCGCCAGAGGAGUUGGAGCUGAGAACAUCAGUGCACUGGAACAUCAAGGGGGAGCGGUUUCUUCUUGUUUUUAAAUUCCUGCUCGGAAAUAACCGCACCGAGCUGUCUGCUUGAUUUACCCGUGCGCAAAUCAUUUUACGCACGGAUUCUCUGGACGCAUCAAGAGGAUUAAACGCUGACAUUACAGCACUGACCCGCGUGGAGUUAAUAUUAUUAUUUGUAUAAGUGAAACUUCAUCGCAAUGGAAACAGAUGAUGGAUUCUACAGUCCAGCUGAGGGUCGUCUUGUUGGAUGUAAGGAAAUCAAGCGGUGUCUGUUCCUCCUGCUGCCCGGUCCCUGCUGCUGGACAAGCUGUUUGUCGGACACACGAGUCUCUUGGGAUACUUCACGCGUGUUCGAGGGGAGCCAGUGUCAUAGAUGGCCAAUACCAUGAUAGUUUUUCGGGAAAUUCCUUAUGGUGGAUUUCAGGUACAAUAACCUGGAGUAUAUAUUUUUUUUUUUUGGAAGUGAUGCUCAGCAGAUGUGCAGCAAAUUUGGAUAAUGACGGGACGCAUCAACUCAUCCAGCAGAAUGAAGGAAUCCAAAUCAUGGAAUAAGAAGUGAACCUUUAAUUGCUUCCCGGGAAUCUUCUGAUGAUCUCAGAUGAGCAUCAAGAAGAGGCUGAGUAAUGGAAACAUGAUCUCCAGUGAUUCAACAGGAUCAUACUAAAUCCCAGCUUGGACUGCGGACCAGCAUCCCCUGCAGCAGAUGCUUGCUCUUGGCAUGACUGCUGACAGCAUGAGCUUCGUCACUGACAAUCUUGCUGCUCAGGAUCCGCGCCAGCCGCUUGGACUUGGAGGAGCUCUGACAUACACUCAGCAGGACAGCGGCGUGUAUUCCGCCGCUCAGACAUUAUGGAACAGAUCAGUCAACCCUGUCUGGAGAGAUGCUCAAGUAGGAAAGCCAAAUCAAUGAAUGUGCAUUUGCCGUAGUUACCACAAUGCAUCUACAUAUUAUUUGACUUUUUCUAAAUUGAACCUGGAUUAAUAUUUUCCUGUAUAUGCAUCUGCUUUUGAUAUCCAGCGCUUAUUCAUGCUGUUGUUCAUACGCUGUACCGUAGUUGUGACAUUUACUGUGUUAUUCUGGGACAAGUAUCAACAGGCGCUGGAACUGUAAAUGGAAUAUAAUCAGAUGUUAUUUUCAUUUUUUAAGAAAUUUUUUUUGCAAACCGAUGGCAAUGCUUUUACCAGUGCAGGCACACGUGAAGUUUGUGGAGUGAAGAACUCAAUAAAUUUCUCCUGUGGUGUAAAAACUAAUUAAUACACAUGUAAUUGAGAUUCCUCGGAAGGAUCACUCAGUCACACAAUGGCUCUGUGUGUGGUUAAUAUUCCUGUUGGGCUGCUUAUUUCCAUGAUGAUUUAUUGCACCAAACCUUUAAUUGUGUUCUUGUGUUGUGUUAUUUGCAGAAAUAAAAAACUUU